rnacentral:lncRNA from 10 species
UAUGCCUUUACCACUUCAAACCGGAAAGGUGUUGCAACAUAACAGUUUUAAUUGCUAAACCCUAGCUGCAAACCCAAAUCUCUGGAUUUAAUAAGAAUUGGGUGUGAAAGACUGUGAACAGUGGCAGUUUUCUGCCAGGUUUACCUUCUUUCCUGCUCUUGGUUGAGAUUUGCGGACCUUUGUAUCCACUGUGGUCUCCUUGGAACAAGCAACUGGAAAUUCUUCACACCAGCUAUGGCUGGUAGGAAUUUCGGGCCACAACUCAGGCUUCCAGACUCUGGACGGUAUUCCCAGAGUCAGCUCCCUUCUGAAUUGGGAGAAAGAGAGAAAGGAAAAUACAAGAAGACCCAACCAUGUGGAUUAACACCCUAUAGCAUGAUCCAGGCCCACAGCCAGCUCUGUGUUUCCAGAGUCAUAAUGGUGAAGAGGAUGGUGACAUCCAAGGACAACCACAGGGCCUCUCUCCUGACACUGGUGAGAACCAGAUUCCUUUCCCUGGUUCUGUAGCUCCCAGCAGAGUUUUGGAAGCUGAUUAAAGAGAAUGUUGGAAAUAACAGGCAAUUAGAAACCUUAUUAAAAAAAGGAAAAACACUCUCAUCAAACUUGCCAAAGCGUCUUAAUGGCUGGAUGUGGAGGAGGCAUUGGAAACUGCUG